GCCGGAUGGACAAAUAAAAGCCCGAGAUUUAGAGCGGGACUAGGACACGGGGAGCGUUUAAUACACGCAAACUUAAAUGGUCCCAACUUUGGGACUUUAGGAACCGCCUAAGAGAACAAACGGGCCCGAGAAGUUCCUGCAAUGCUGUUAUGAGGACAGAUUGACUGGUACCCACCCCUACCCGCCAAGCCCCAUAGCUACCAGCCCGGGGACUGGGUCCUGAUCCGCAGACACCAAUGCAGGACCUUGGAGCCAAGAUGGAAAGUGCCCUAUGUUAUCCUGACCACACCCACCGCUCUCCAGGUGGACCGCCUUGCAGCCUGGAUCCACCACUCCCACGCCCGACUGGCAGACCCUUUCGCCCUUCCAGAGGACGCCAGGACGAGACCUGGGAGGCCUCUGAAACACCCCUCCAACCCGCUAAAGCUCAAGCUCCAACGCCAAAGAACAUGAAGCCCGUCCUGCUUCUGCUGCUUCUGCUCGUGAAAGCUUCCCACGGGGCAGGUCACUCCAACAACCCUCAUGCGCCAUGGAACCAGACCUGGCUGGUAGUCAACGCGGAAACUGGCGUCAUUGCCAAUUCCAGCUCCUCGAUCGGAGAACAUAAGGACCCCUGGUUCCCGGACUUGUAUGUGGACCUUUGUGAUCUGGUAGGAGAGGAGGCGUGGGACCCAUCAGACCAGGAACCUUUUCCCGGGUACGGGUGUGCUUCUCCUGGCCAGAGAAAGAGAACUAGGGAGCAACAUUUUUAUGUAUGCCCUGGACAUUUCAGGAGCCGGGACCAAGUUAAAAAAUGUGGGGGCCCAGGGUCAGUCUAUUGUGCCGCGUGGGAUUGCGUAAGCACGGGGUAUAUUUGGUGGGAGGCCCCGAUAAAAACUGAUUUGAUUACUGUGGGCCGGGGGGACAGAAGUAUGCUAGGAACAGGGAAAUGUCAACAAAAUAGCAGAUAGGUAGACUGCGGCCCUUGUUAUGAUAAGGAACGCUUCCCCAAUCAUCCAUGGGCAACCCCUGGAGGUCGCUGCAACUCCCUGAUAAUUAGGUUUACUGAAAAAGGAAAAAAAGCCAACUGGACCGCUGGGAAAACGUGGGGGUUGCGGCUAUACCGUUCGGGGUAUGACCCUAAACUUACUUUCACCAUCCGGCGCACUCUGUCCCCAGUAAAAACCUCAGUGGGGCCCAACAUAGUACUGAACCCCCAACCAAAGCGCAUUGUGCCAGGGGACACAGCACUGCCACUGAAUCUGACCAUACCACUAUGAAGCCCAGCCACAUAGAGUCCCUGCUGUUCUCCCUGUUCCAAAAAUCCUUUCUGCUUCUUAAUGCCACUAGGGCCCAAUUUAACAGCCUCUCGUUGGCUCUGCUAUGAUACACAACCGCCUCCUUAACACUCCAACAGGUGGAGGGCCAAGGCUUAUGCAUAGGACAAGUUCCACUGGAAUAUCAGGUCCACUGCAAUGGUACUGAGCCACUUGGGAACCAGACGACACCUGGUGGGCGUGUUCCUCUGGGCUGACUCCAUGUGCACACCUCACGUCCUUAAUAAGACCCGGGGGUUUUGUCUAUGAGUCAGACUCGUGCCCCGGCUGAUACAUCUCACACCGAGGAAGACCUGCCUGACCUAAUGGAGCCUAUCAGCCCCGGCCGCUGUCAGAGAGAACCAGUUACAGCCCCCACUCUAUCUGUGCUACUGGGGACUAGCUUAGUGAGACUGGGGACCGGGGCUGCGUCCCUGAUCGCUCCACAGCAGCGUUACUCCAGCCUCCGCCUUUCCCUCGAGGAGGACAGAGAGACACUAGAAAACUCCAUCUCACACCCCCAGGACUCCUUAUCCUCCCCGGCAGAGGUGGUCACACAAAACAGGAGAAGGCGAGAUCUUAUUUUCCUGAAGGGAAAAAAGGUUAUGUGCCGCCCUAGGUGAGGAAUGCUGUUUCUAUGGAGACCACUCAGGAGAAUCAGUGGCCAGAGUAGAGGAGGGCUGGCAAAACAAAAAGGAGAACAUGAAGCCAACCAAAGCUGGUUCUGGAGUUGGUACUCCACAUCCCCCGGCUUGCUACUCUGGUCUCAUCCCUCAAAGGGCCCGUAAUACUCUUAUUAGUGGCCAUCGCCUUCGGAUGUCAUAAAUAAACUGCUCCGAUAUAUGAGGGAACGACUAGGUACGGGCCAGCUUAUGGUACAGAGAGGGUAUACACCACUAAAUACCACCGAAUUCAAGUUAUAUGCUGACCCUAGGGAAGAUGGGAAAGAGUCCCAUGAGUAGGAGCUAGUUAGGGGCCCAUGACUGAACCCCAUUAGGAUCAAAGAAAGGGAGGACUAUGAGGCCUCUGUAAGACCCCUACUCUAUUCUCCAGAGAGGAAAAAGCUUAGGCAAGGAUAUCUUAAUAUUCUGGACACCCUCUGUCUUCGGUGGUCUCUCUGGGGGUCGUGAUCUGGGCAGAACACUGUAAAUGCAUAUGCAUCUAUAUCACACACAAAUCUUUUAACAAAUGUGGCCUGUACACUCUAUCUUUUGUGGGGUGCUGAUGAUUGUAUGUAGUGGCCCUGUGGUGGUUUGGAUGAGAAUGGCCCCCCAUGAGCUCCUUUAUUUGAGUGUUUGGUUCCUCCUUGGUGGAACUACUACGUUUUGGGAAGGGUUAGGAGGUGUGGCCUUGUUGGAGGUGUGUCACUGGGGGAUGGGCUUUUAAGGUUUCAAAAGCCCAAACCAGGCCAGGUAUCUCUCUGCCUCCUGCUUGUGGGUCACAUGUGAGCUCUCUGCUACUGCUCAAGUGCCAUGCCAUGCCUGCCUGCCGCCAUGCUCCCUGCCGUGAUGGUCACAGGCUCACCCUCUGAAACCGAGCAAAGCUCCUAAUCGGAUGCUUUCUUGUAUAAGUUGCCUCGGUCACCAUGUCUCACAGCAAUGGACCGGUGACUAAGACAGGCUUUGUCUAUCUAUACAUAUGCCAUCACUGAGCCACACCCCCAGACCAACUGUAUAUUUGUCAUCAAAUUUUAAAACCUGAAUCUUCCUCCCCCUUCCGUCCCCCAGCUGAGGACCGAACCCAGGGCCUUGCACUUCGCCCUACCACUGAGCUAAACCCCCAACCCCUAAAACCUGAAUCUUAAGAUGAUAAAAUUUAUCUAAAAGACAAUUGAGAGGUCUGUGUUUUCUUUUUGUUUUGUCUUGUUUUUUCGAGACAGGGUUUCUCUGUGUAGCCCUGGCUGUCCUGGAACUCACUCUGUAGAUUAGGCUGGCCUUGAACUCACAGAGAUCUGCCUGUCUCUGCCUCCCGAAUGCUGGGAUUAAAAGUGUGUGCCACCACUGCCUGGCAAGAGGUCUGUAUUUUCUAAAAUGAUAUAAUCCUCACAUAAUAAAAAAAAAUACAGAC